rnacentral:lncRNA from 1 species
CCACCCCGCUCGCCCCACUUCCCCUCCCCACACCCCGCUCCUCCCUCUGCCCCCCGAUUGGAUCGGGGGGAUCGACCCCAUCGAUCGAUCGCCGUCGCCGCCCGGAUCGGUCGCCGCCCCGUCGUCCUCGACUCCACCUCGCCGGACCGCCUCCUCAUCUCCGGCAACGCACGCGUCCCCGUCCUCCUCCUCGACAACCGCUGCCAUUGCCCUACGCGCCGUCGUGAGGACCCCCUCCUCUCCCCUCUCCCCCGGCCGAUGCGUGACCCUGGCCAUCGCCUACCGCACCCCGACGCACUCGCGCCCCUGCUCACCGCGGCCUCGCCCCGUGCCCCACCUCCGCCUCUGGCCCCGCGGGCCAUCGCCGCGACGACGGCCAACUCCGGCGCCCACCCCGGGCUCUUUCCUUCCCGCAGUGAGCCUCGCUUCUUUUCCUCUCCCUCGCGCGACACCACCUACCGGCGCUGCGCGCUCGCGCGCCUCGCGCUCGUCGCCGUGGCCACCGCGCGUGUGCGCCCCGCGCACGCCCGUUGGCGCGCCGCCCCGAUGCUCCCGUGUCCAGGACUGUGCCCCCCUCUCUGCCGCUCGCGGCCGCCGAACCCCCACGCCCGAUGGCCGACACGCGCGCCGUCCCGCCCGCGCGCGCUCUGCCCGCUGCUACCCGCCUGACGCCGCCGCCUACGCCCUGCUCGCCGGCGCUCCCGCUCGGGCGACGCCGCGCCCGAUCUCGCCCCUGUCGGGCGCCCGCUCCUGGCGUCCGCACCCGUUCGCGCACCCGCGUCCAAACCGGCUAGGCCUCCCCUGGGCCACUGAACAAAGGGCCCCAGCCCAUGGAACAUUAAUGAAAAAAAGAGAAAAAAAAUGAAUUAAUAAAAAUAAAAAUAAUUAAUUAAUUAAAGAUUUAAUAAAUCAUAAUUAGAUUAAUCUAAUCACUAAUUAAUCUAAAUUAAUCCUGAUUAGUUAGUCUCAGUCAAUGACAGCAAGGACCCACACGUCAGUUUGACCCAGUCAACGCCCUAUUGACGUCAUGCUGACGUUAUCUUACACUAUUCUGGAUAAUGUUGAUUUAAAUUGAUUAAAUAAAUCCUGAAAUGUAUUAAAUCUUUUAAAAUUAAUAUAAAAUAAACCGUAGCUCGGAUGGGAAAACUUUGUACAUGAAAGUUGCUCAGAACGACGAGACGAAUACGCAGCCCGUUUGUCUGCCACACAUCCCUAGCAUAGCGAACCUACAACAUUUCACCUUCGGUUCUUCUGUCUGAAAAUGCGAAAUGCCGGGGAUACUUUCCCGGAUGUUUCCCCCUUUCGUCGGUAUCACCUACUACCGUGUUGGGGCACACCUAACACCUCGUAUUGUCUUGUUACGCUUUGUGAUGCUUUGAUUGCUCUGUUAUUUAUUGUGUUCCCUCUCUGUUACUUCUUUCCGAUAGACCCCGAGACUGCCGGGGACCCCAGUUCGACUACGGUGUUGACGACUCAUCCUUCUUGCCAGAACAACCAGGCAAGCCCCCCCUCUUUGAUCACCAGAUAUCGCCUAUUCUUCUCUCUACUGCUUGCAUUAGAGUAGUGUAGCAUGUUACUGUUCGGUUACUCCUAUUCUGUUGCAUAGCCUGUCAUUGUUGCUACAGUCAUUGAUACCUUACCCGCAAUACUAAAUGCCUAGUAUAAGAUGCUAGUUUAUCAUCAUUGGCCCUGCAUUUUUGUCAGUCUGCCUUGCUAUACUAUCGGGCCGUGAUCACUCGGGAGGUGAUCACGGGUAUAUAUUAUACAUAUAUACAUACUAUAUAGAUGGUGACUAAAGUCAGGUUGGCUCGUUGAGUACCCGCAAGUGAUUCCGAUGUGGGGGCUGGAAGGACAUGUGGCUCCAUCCCGGUAGAGGUGGGCCUGGGUUCCCGACGGCCCCCGACUGUUACUUUGUGGCGGAGCGACAGGGCAGGUUGAGACCACCUAGGAUAGAGGUGGGCCUGGCCUUGGUCGGCGUUCGCGGUUACUUCAUAAUAACACGCUUAACGAGAUCUUGGUAUUUGAUCUGAGUCUGGCCACUGGCCUAUAUGCAGUAACCAACUACGCGGGAAAGAUAUGGGCACUCGACGUCGUGGUAUCAGCCAAAGCCUUCGUGACGUCAACGACUGAGCGGCGCGCGUCGGAUUGGAACGUAAGCCUGCUCUUGUAUUAAGGGGGCUAGUUCUGCUUCCGGCUGCGUACGCAACGUGCAGGUGUGCAAUGGGCGAUGGGCCUAGACCCUUGCGCGCAUAGGAUUUAGACCGGCGUGCUGACCUCUCUGUUGUGUCUAGGUGGGGCUGCGACGUGUUGAUCUUUCGAGGACGGGCAUGACCCAGGAAAGCGUGUCCGGCCAAAUGGGAUCGAGCGUGUUGGGUUAUGUGGUGCACCCCUACAGGGAAGUUUAUCUAUUCGAAUAGCCGUGUCCCUCGGUAAAAGGACGACCCAGAGUUGUACCUUGACCUUAUGACAACUAGAACCGGAUACUUAAUAAAACACACCCAGACAAGUUCCAUAGACAACCCGGUGAUCGCUUUUCCACAGGGCGACGAGGGGAGGAUCGCCGGGUAGGAUUAUGCUAUGCGAUGCUACUUGGAGGACUUCAAUCUACUCUCUUCUACAUGCUGCAAGACGGAGGCUGCCGGAAGCGUAGUCUUUGAUAGGACUAGCUAUCCCCCUAUUAUUUUGGCAUUGUGCAGUUCAGUCCACCGAUAUUGCCUCUUUACACAUAUGUAGUGUAGAUCCUUGCUUGCGAGUACUUUGGAUGAGUACUCACGGUUGCUUUGCUCCCUCUUUCCCCCCAUUUUCCUCUUCUUCUCGGAUGCUGCAACCAGACGUUGGAGCCCAGGAGCCAGACGCCACUGUCGAUGAUGACUACUACACUUGAGGUGCCUACUACUACGUGCAGGCUGCUGAUGACGACCAGGAGUAGUUAGGAGGAUCCCAGGUAGGAGGCCUGUGCCUCUUUCGAUCUGUAUCCCAGUUUGUGCUAGCCAUCUUAUGGCAACUUGUUUAACUUAUGUCUGUACUCAGAUAUUGUUGCUUCCGCUGACUUGUCUAUGAUCGAGCACUUGUAUUCGAGUCCUCGAGGCCCUUGGCUUGUAAUAUGAUGCUUGUAUGACUUAUUUAUGUUUUUAGAGUUGUGUUGUGAUAUAUUCCCGUGAGUCCCUGAUCUUGAUCGUAAAUGUUUGUGUGCAUGAUUAGUGUACGAUUGAAUCGGGGGCGUCACACCCCCC